GGUCCCACCUGACCCCAUGCCGAACUCAGAAGUGAAACGCCGUAGCGCCGAUGGUAGUGUGGGGUCUCCCCAUGCGAGAGUAGGGAACUGCCAGAC
rnacentral:rRNA from 7 species